rnacentral:ncRNA from 1 species
CUUAUGCCACUCCACUUCUUGGCAAACCUAAACGGAGAAAGGAGAAACGUCCCCGACUCGGACUGCGGCAGUGUGGAGACCUGUCGUAAUGCGUGAACACGCGAGGAUGCAGCAUGCGGAGGCACUGUAUCCGGAGUCAAUUCAAAUGGC